UCCGUAGGCGGGCAAUUAAGUCAGAGGUGAAAUCCCACAGCUCAACUGUGGAACUGCCUUUGAUACUGGUUGUCUUGAGUUAUAGUGAAGUAGAUAGAAUAUGUAGUGUAGCGGUGAAAUGCAUAGAUAUUACAUAGAAUACCGAUUGCGAAGGCAGUCUACUAACUAUAUACUGACGCUGAUGGACGAAAGCGUGGGGAGCGAACAGGAUUAGAUACCCUGGUAGUCC
rnacentral:rRNA from 1 species